AUCUGAAACAAUGAGGCCAGAACAUCAGGCGAAAUCCGCCGCCAAUUUGACUGGUCGAUUCGAAAGUUUCCCGCCAUUGCAGUGGUGCUCAGUCAGCGUUAUGAAACUGAUAACGUCAAUUGUUGACGAGCCAGUUGCAGCAGGUGCAUCACAGGACAAAAAGUGCGUCGACUUCGAAAACUUAUGCAUUGAGGAUGCAGGUAACGGGUGUUGUGGUAUUCUUGGAGCAAGACGAGAAUUAAAAUGGAUCCAAGGGGCCCUCCUGAGGGGGCCCCUGUUAAUUCCUUUGAAAUUCCAAACAUUGACAAAGUGUCUGACACUUCAGUAAAUUGGUCUGCUGAUCAUUCGCUCCAUUCAGCUGUGUGCGAGCAACCCAAAAAAAUGAGUAACAAGCUGUUGUUUCUGACUGUGGAGUAUGUGGAGGAUCAGUCUCGGGAAUAUCCUCGUCUAUUUCCAACAUACGAGCAAGUCUCUUUUUCUCCCAGAGCAACUUCCCCGCUUUCUGAUUUCGAGCACCGUGUCAGUCCUCUUGACCCGAAUAUGAGUUCAGCAGCUAGGUAUUCACCAACUCCUGUACAACUUCCACCAUCUCCUUUUCAUAAUUCUGUUGUUGUUCUACAAGGUCCAUCCUCCCCUUUAAUAUCCCCACCCGAGUCGAACGAGAGAACAAAUGUUAACUAUGUUUCUCAAAUGACCCAUCCAAUUGAUGCACAGAGUGUACAACAAACAGACAAUACACCCGACUUUGUUGCCAAUGAAAAUGAAGAGCAGUUGGUCUCUAGUGUUGGUAGUGAAUUAAUUUUGAUGCAAGAGACCAAUUCUGGAUUGGAAUCACCAGCAGCACCAUUGAUGCUGACAGGAAUGCCUAGUACAGAUUUUACGUUGAGUAGAGAUUUUCUUGUUAUGCAAGAUGACCAAAUGAAUGUCAUGAAUUCGUUUAAAGCUCAAAAUCUUGAUGUGGAUGAUUCUACUUUAUCAUCAGCUGCAGAAAAUUCGAAUAAGGAGAAUAAAGUGGAUCCUUUGGUCAAACCAAAAGAUCAAGAUAUUAAUGAAGUUUUGAUAGAUACGGAAGAAAAGAAGGAUAGUGAAAAGCAGAAUGUUAGACGCUCCAAGCGUCGUAUAAACGAUAAGAAAAGUUCUUGUUGCGAUGAAGGCGACGAUGUCUGUACUGGAGACAAUUGUACAUCGCAUAACGUGUGUACGAUAGCAGAUCAGCCUGUGCCAUCACGAGCUAUAGCAACACUGCCAGGAUCAUAUCUCUCCAUAAAUAAGUUGUCCAGUUCCGAAAUUGAAUCGAACGGAUCAGAAUAUGGAGUUUUUGCAAAACGUUACAUACAAAAACGUACUCAAUUUGGUCCGAUUGAAGGCAUCUUGUACCCAUACGAUGGUACUCCAUUUAAAAACGAAUUACCGUUACUCUAUGAAACCGAAAACGAGGAAUUACUGAAAGUAGAUGUUUCGAAUGAAAAUGCUUCAAAUUGGAUGCGCUUCGUAAGGCCCGCAUUGGCGUAUAAAGAACAGAAUCUAGUAAUUUGCCAACAACGCGAUGGAAUAGUGUUCUUAACAACCAGGCACAUCUUACCAAAGGAGGAACUGAAGGCUGGUCCAAGUACUGAUUACGCGAUUCGUAGGAAUUUGACAGCGCUGAAGCCUGUGCAAGAAACUAAAGAUGAUAAAGAGCCUAAGAAUCAGCUGUCAUCUCGGCCUCGCUUAGACGAUAAUCAUUCUCGUCGCGUGAAAGUAUUUCACGGGAGAAAUUUGAAAGAGAAAGAGAAUUCAAGGCAGAAUAAUUCAAAGGAAUGGAAAUGUUCAGUUUGUGGUUUAAUUUUUCGAAAAGCAAUAUUGCUUAAUUUGCAUACCCUCACUCACGGUGCUGAUAAAGUUAAAACGAAGAUUCAGAACACCGCUUGUCCACAGUGUGGGCUGCGAUUCCAGAAGCAAAAGGAGUUAGUUAAUCACGUCUCCCAACACGGAAGAUUAUCUUUAACGAAAACAAAGAGAAUGACCCCUUUAUCUACGUAUAAGUGUUCAAUGUGCUACAAACGUUUUGCCACGAAAGUACGGUUACAACAGCACUGUUUGGUGCAUGGUGCUGAAGACCAAAAACCACUGCCAUGCAACAUUUGCUUCAAACGAUUCAUGAACAAUUCAGCGUUGUCUUGUCACUUAAAAACACACCGAGAGAAUAAACAAGUGUUUGAGUGUCCGAUGUGCCGGCAACUAUUUAGCCAGAGUAUCACACUGAAAGAUCACAUUGAAACUCAUAAAAAAGAAGAUGGUACCUUUUGCUGUCCCUACUGCCAAAGAAUAUUUAUGAAAUAUUCCGUUAUACGUAAACAUAUUAGAGCGCAUCAUUGCGAAAGGAAACACAAGUGUCAAGUUUGCGCGAAACGCUUCGCUACGGUUGACAAAUUGCAGAUGCAUCUUCUAAAACAUUCUGAUCAUAGAGAAUUUCAUUGUGCUAAUUGUGGCAAACAAUUUAAGAGGAAAGAUAAGCUGAAGGAGCACAUGACGAAGUUACAUAAUUCGCAAACGGCUACCGAGGAACAAAUGUCGCAGGUUACACAAACAAAAAAAUUUGUUCCAAAGGUCAAUCCUAAUGACUACAAUCGCUUCAUUUACAAAUGUCAUCAAUGCCUGGUGGGCUUUAAACGAAGGGGAAUGCUCGUCAAUCAUUUAGCAAAACGUCAUCCUGAUGUUGCUCCCGAAUCUGUUCCAGAACUGAACUUACCAAUUUUACGCCAAACUAGAGACUAUUACUGUCAAUACUGCGACAAGGUUUACAAAAGCAGCAGUAAACGUAAAGCGCAUAUUAUGAAAAAUCACCCGGGAGCUGCUUUACCGCCAAGCAACAGACAAAAGGAGUCCGACUACUCCGAUUUGCCUAAUCCAACGUUCAGUCAAACUGUUGGUAGUAUCACAACUACGCCCCAGGGUUGCCAGUGGUGUCACAAACAAUAUGCCAGUAAGGCAAAAUUAUUACAACAUCAACGUAAGAAGCAUUCGAAUUUGAUGGAACCAGCCGAUCAAGUACCACGGUCCCGGAAUCGACAGCCACAAAAUCAAAAUCAACCCCCGGUACUUAUCGAAGAUCACUUCGUGCUGUCGGAUUACAUUCAAGCGUGCGACACGAAUUCCGAGUUCUUUAAGCCGAAAAUAAUCAAACUGUCCGAGGACGUUGAUCUCAUAAGUAACGGACUGGAACUUGUCGGGCAACAGUUUGUUCGUAUGCGUGACAUACGUUGAAAAGAGCGAUGACAGCCUCGUCACGAGGUUUCGUCAAUUUACCGAGAUAUGAAUCUCAUGAAUUUGUGCACAGUAGAGGAAACACAACUGUGCUUUUUGCUGUGGUUGCCAAAUGAAGGCGAACCCGUCGUCCCCCGCGCGAGGGGCAAUUGGUGCGCCGCCGGGGAAUAUUUGGGUCGCAGCUUUGUCGGCGUCGGUGCGAAACACUCGACGCCCAUUUCUUGGUUGUACGGUCGGCGAUGACGUCGUCGCGACCUCGAGGCUGGGCAGCCAGCGGCAUUGGAAACUUUGUUGGAACGGAGUACACACACUGUUUUGUGAAAACUUUCAGCCCGACGGGGCAAAAAACACAGGAACGAAAGAAUUUACGCCUAAGACACACAACAGGAAACACAAACAUGGAGAUUUAAGACUAAACACAACGGGGAAACAUGUAGUUGUCGAGAUCUUUGCUCAAGGUAUUACGAGUACAGAGCGCGAAGAAAAAAGAGGACCGACAGCGUCAGGUUUUAGCGUACCCGCGUUGGAUACCGUCGCGAUGUUGCCGUCCUUUCUCAACUGAGCCAUCUCGUGCAACUGCUUCUGCAUCACGACCAGGGAGACCUUGUUCGCCGAGAAGAAAUCCUGCAUGGAGAUCAGCUCUCCGGACAUCCUCCUAGGUAUAUCCGAGCCGUCGCCCUUCAGCGAAUCCCUUCCGGCCACCCUGGUGCCCCUCCUCUUCGAGAAGUACAUCGUCGACACGGAGGACCUCCUCCUCGGGAGUACGUGCAGCAGCAGCCGAGCAGAACGAACAGAAAGUUGGCGAUGCGGUACCUGCGCCGGGACAAACCACCGAAUUGAGAACCUUCGACGGCCAAGCUUCAGGAAAGGAAGAAACGCACCAGUAGAUGUAAGAGUGAUCCGCCCUCUCCGUGGCGACGAAGUCCCCGAACCCGAUGGUCGCGAAGCUGACGAAGCAGAAGUACAGAGCGUCGAAGUACUCCCACUGUUCGAGCGGAGCGUAAACGGCGGCAGCGCAGCUGGCCACCGUGCAGCUGAACACCGACAGAUAGAACAUCACCCAGUACACGCUCGGCUUCCAUUGGUCCAGGUCCGAACUGUUGUCGUCGAUCUCGACGGUCCGCGGCAGAGAGUCCUUCCGGCCCUCCAGGAAUCUCGAGCGUCUCCGCAGACGGUGCUGAUGGUUAAUGCGCAGGACCCACGCGAGGAACGUGAUGAUCCUCUCGAGGAACAGAUUGAAGAACAGAAUCCCGCCUGGAAACCCGACCGUUUACGUCUCGGAUCGUCGUGUUCUAUUCCUAUCAUUGUCAAGUUUCUCGAGACCGAGUACGCUUGGUCUAUGAAAACUACUGUGCAAAGCAUCCGUGGGAGACGACGGAUCGACCAAGCAUCGAGAAACACGACAUUCUUACCGGAGCAGCCGACGAAUCCGUAGAAGAUCACGGCGACUUUACCCGGCGUGGACUGCGGCGCGGUGUUCCCGUACCCUGGAAAAUGGCGCUCGGAAUCAGGUCCACGAUCCCCGCGGACGCGGUGCGGAAUACCGGGCCAAAGGGACUGCGGAGGGCAACCGCGGUACUGGGUCGCGAGAUAUUAACAUUCCGGAGUCCACCGGCGCAUUCUUGCGCGUGCCGCGGACGACGACCCUUUCCCCUUCGUUCGCCGCUGUUGUGACCGCGGGUUUCGAUAAUCGCGGCCGCCGAUUAGAGGCCGGCUCUCGCGGGACAGUAGGAAAAGUACCCGAACGCGCAAGAUUACGGGGUAUAUAGGGCGAACGUUGCAAAAUUGUUUGCCGACGGUUGUUGACGUCCGACCGAGCAGAUAGAUUUUCCGAAACGCCGCGGGAAAAGGGGGGGCGAGAGCACGGUCGCGAUAAAGCGCGGCACAUGUUCCACUGACCCGUUAUUCCGGUUCACUUGCACGGCACCGAGCGAGACACGUGGAAUGCUGGAACGGUCGUUUCCGCUUACCGAUCGUGGAGACGAUGGUGCCCACGAAGUAGAAGCUGCCGGAGAAGUCCCAUCGCCGGCCCUUGUUGAUCACACCGGAGGACGAGGCGUUCCCGUAGGCGUACAGCAGCUCGUCCAGUCUCUGGAGAGCGACGGGGCUGCUUUGAAGGUGGUGCCGCCGGAAUGUAUGGUACACCCUCCAGAACUCAGCCGCCUGGAAGCACCGAAUGACUCAAUACACUUGGUUCGCCUGAAGUCUUCUCGUCUUAGUGUACCUUCGUAU